rnacentral:rRNA from 1 species
UACGUAGGGGGCAAGCGUUGUCCGGAAUCAUUGGGCGUAAAGAGCGUGUAGGCGGCCAGAUAAGUCCGCUGUGAAAUCUCGAGGCUCAACUUCGAGCUGUCGGUGGAAACUGUCUGGCUAGAGUCCGGAAGAGGAGAAUGGAAUUCCUGGUGUAGCGGUGAAAUGCGCAGAUAUCAGGAGGAACACCAGUGGCGAAGGCGGCACUCUGGGCCGGUACUGACGCUGAGGAGCGAAAGCGUGGGGAGCGAACAGG